rnacentral:rRNA from 1 species
UACGGAGGGUGCAAGCGUUAAUCGGAAUUACUGGGCGUAAAGCGUACGUAGGCGGCGUGUUAAGCAAGAUGUGAAAUCCCCGGGCUCAACCGGGGAAUGGCAUUUUGAACUGGCAGGCUCGAGUUCUGAAGAGGGUGGUAGAAUUUCCAGUGUAGCGGUGAAAUGCGUAGAUAUUGGAAGGAAUACCGGUGGCGAAGGCAGCCACCUGGUCAGAAACUGACGCUGAGGCACGAAAGCGUGGGGAGCAAACAGG